UAAUACGGAGGGUGCAAGCGUUGUUCGGAAUCACUGGGCGUAAAGCGUGUGUAGGCGGUCAGGUCAGUCGGAUGUGAAAGCCCUGGGCUCAACCCAGGAACUGCAUACGAUACUGCCUGACUUGAGUAUGGGAGAGGGAAGCGGAAUUCCUGGUGUAGCGGUGAAAUGCGUAGAUAUCAGGAGGAACACCUGCGGCGAAAGCGGCUUCCUGGCCCAUAACUGACGCUGAGACACGAAAGCAUGGGGAGCAAACAGGAUUAGAUACCCUGGUAGUCCAUGCCGUAAACGAUGAGUGCUAGGUGUUGGAGGUAUUGACCCCUUCAGUGCCGACGCUAACGCAUUAAGCACUCCGCCUGGGGAGUACGGUCGCAAGAUUA
rnacentral:rRNA from 1 species